rnacentral:rRNA from 1 species
CGCUGGCGGCGUGCCUAACACAUGCAAGUCGAACGGGGUAGAGAGCUUCGGGUUUUCUACUUAGUGGCGAACGGGUGAGUAACGCGUGAGAAACCUGCCUUUCAGUGGGGGGACAACAGUUGGAAACGACUGCUAAUACCGCAUAAUGUUAUUUGGGGGCAUCCUUGAAUAACCAAAGAUUUAUCGCUGAGAGAUGGCCUCGCGUCUGAUUAGAUAGUUGGUGAGGUUAACGGCCCACCAAGUCUGCGAUCAGUAGCCGGACUGAGAGGUUGAUCGGCCACAUUGGGACUGAGACACGGCCCAGACUCCUACGGGAGGCAGCAGUGGGGGAUAUUGCACAAUGGGCGAAAGCCUGAUGCAGCGACGCCGCGUGAGGGAAGACGGUUUUCGGAUUGUAAACCUCUGUCUUCGGGGACGAAAAUGACGGUACCCGAGGAGGAAGCCACGGCUAACUACGUG